rnacentral:rRNA from 1 species
UACGUAGGGUGCAAGCGCUGUCCGGAAUUAUUGGGCGUAAAGAGCUCGUAGGCGGUUUGUCGCGUCUGCUGUGAAAAUCCGGGGCUCAACCCCGGACUUGCAGUGGGUACGGGCAGACUAGAGUGUGGUAGGGGAGACUGGAAUUCCUGGUGUAGCGGUGAAAUGCGCAGAUAUCAGGAGGAACACCGAUGGCGAAGGCAGGUCUCUGGGCCACUACUGACGCUGAGAAGCGAAAGCAUGGGGAGCGAACAGG